CUGUGCCCAGCCUCUGAUUUCAUUUUCCUCGGAUAUAUAAGCACUAGUAGAAUUAACUGGAUCAUAUGGUAGCUGUACUGUAUAAUUCUUAAUUAUAGACCAAAAAUGAAUACACACUCAUAUAUAUAUAAAAUAUAUACAGACUGAAACACAAUUUGUGUAUUUAUACUGUAAAAAAUAAAUAAUGAUCCUAAGAAAUAAAAUAUUUUUGUUAUAUUUAUUCUUUUUAUACAUUUCUAUAAUCCCAGAUUUACUUUCUGAAGAAACAAUGCCCAAAUCCUCUAAGCAGCCUAUAUUUGUGUUCUCAUAUUCCAUACAGAACCAGCAGAGGGAGCCCAAAUAACUUUUUAAAACCUUAUCCAUAUUUAAGAGUUAAACUAAAUUUAAGAUCAGUAAACAGGGGGCAAAAAAGAAAUCAAACAAAAAAUUUUAGAGCAGUGUUUCUUAAAUAUUUUUUCCCUAAACUCCUUUGAGAAAUGGAUGAACGUUAUCUUACACACAUAAUUUUGUAGGUAAUUUCAGAGUUCAAACACCUAAUGAAGCCUGCCUACCCAAGGACCUUGGGUUAAAAAGCCUUGCUGUAGGCCGGGUGUGGUGGCUCAUGCCUGUAAUCCCAGCACUUUGGAAGGCCGAGGAGGGCGGAUCACGAGGUCAGGAGUUCGAGACCAG
rnacentral:lncRNA from 10 species